rnacentral:tRNA from 1 species
AUUCUCUUAGUUCAAUGGCUAGAACAACAUUCUUCUAAAGUGUAUAUUCAGGUUCGAGUCCUGAAGAGAAUA